rnacentral:rRNA from 1 species
GAUGAACGCUGGCGGCGUGCCUAAUACAUGCAAGUCGAACGCACAGCGAAAGGUGCUUGCACCUUUCAAGUGAGUGGCGAACGGGUGAGUAACACGUGGACAACCUGCCUCAAGGCUGGGGAUAACAUUGGGAAACAGAUGCUAAUACCGAAUAAAACUCAGUGUCGCAUGACACAAAGUUAAAAGGGCCUUUGGCGUCACCUAGAGAUGGAUCCGCGGUGCAUUAGUUAGUUGGUGGGGUAAAGGCCUACCAAGACAAUGAUGCAGAGCCGAGUUGAGAGACUGAUCGGCCACAUUGGGACUGAGACACGGCCCAAACUCCUACGGGAGGCUGCAGUAGGGAAUCUUCCACAAUGGGCGAAAGCCUGAUGGAGCAACGCCGCGUGUGUGAUGAAGGCUUUCGGGUCGUAAAGCACUGUUGUAUGGGAAGAACAGCUAGAAUAGGGAAUGAUUUUAGUUUGACGGUACCAUACCAGAAAGGGACGGCUAAAUACGUGCCAGCCGCCGCGGUAA